GAUCCUGGCUCAGGACGAACGCUGGCGGCGUGCCUAACACAUGCAAGUCGAACGGAGCACCCUUGAAAGAGGCUUCGGCCAAUAGAUAGGAAUGCUUAGUGGCGGACGGGUGAGUAACGCGUGAGGAACCUGCCUCGGAGUGGGGGAUAACACAUCGAAAGGUGUGCUAAUACCGCAUAAUGUACAGAGAUCGCAUGGUAAUUGUACCAAAGAUUUAUUGCUCUGAGAUGG
rnacentral:rRNA from 1 species